CUUGCAGUGAAUUCUGUUUUACAGUCAACUCUCCACAUCUCGAUAUCUUUCCCUAUGUCGAUGAUUUUUCGGUCCUUUCAUUCUGCAUAAUGUAUUCACUAUCUAUAUCUCGAUAUCCUCCUUAUCUCGAUGUGAUUUUAAUUCCCGAUUUUCUUUCUGUAUGUUGAUAUGCCCCUUAUCAAAGGUGACUAGACUUAAUUUUAGGGGUUCAAAACAAUUUUCGAAGACGAAAUGACGUCUGUUCAUUUUUAGUUUUCCUGGUAACGAAAUGGUUUUCGAUCUAGUAUUCAUAAAAAAAUGUUCUAUGUCUCGAUCUCUCCCUAUCUCGAUGGUCCCUUCGAUAUCAAGAUGUGGAGAGUCGACUGUAUAAUAUUUAACCAGGAAUUCCAAAGAGGUUUACUCUUAAAAUUUAUCAAAAUUUCUCUUAGAAAUUUUUUAAUAAAAUACAGUUUCAGAGUUUUUGUAGAAAUUCGUUAGACGUUUUUGGAAACUCCUACAAGGGUUCAUAUGCAAAUUAAUUCAGUUAUUUGUUCAGUCAUUUUCAUAUGAAUUCCUUCGUGAAUUCAUUUUCGGUUUAUUUUAAGAAUUGCUCCAAAAUUCUUCCUAGGUAGUUAAGGACUAUUCCAAGGUAUAUUGAAAGUACAGGUACAGCAAUCUAAGCAGCCACUGGAUGCGGGGAGUGGUAAACCCGGAGGGGGUAAAAAGUGACAGCUGGCGAGUCGGCGAGCUGUCGAUAUGUUUUUGUAUUUUGCCCUUUAUCAGUUUCUUUCGUAUCCAUAGAGAUGUUUCUAAUAUGCAAGAUUGUUGCGUGUGCCAUAAGACGCCAUAAUUUUUUUUGCAGAUAGAGAUUGCGGGAAAACAAUUGCCAGCACUAAAAUCCGUAGUGUGGGUUUUCAUCGAUUCUCGAACGGUAGAUAGCAAAACCAAUUGUGGUUAUCGUCCUGUGACCAAUACCAUGGUCGGUCAUCACAGAACAAGCAAGCAAUAUGGCAAAAAAAAAUCUUCCGCCAAGUAUCAAGAGCCGCAAUAGAAUUUUAUUAUAAUUAAGUUGUCUGUGUAGAAUAAAAGAUAGUUUCAACUCAUUCAUUUAAA